rnacentral:lncRNA from 1 species
GGAGUCGCAUACAAAAGUCAAACAAUAUAGAAAAGAAUUGAUUGAAUAUUUAUGUGUUCAAUAUAGAAGCAUGAGACUUAAUUAAAUAUAUAGAUUAACUUAAUUAAGAAUUAAGUUAUAAGUUAUACAAAAUUAAACACUAACUAUAUUCAGUUAGCACUGUGCAUGAGGUGCGGAUUUGAUUUCGAAAAUUAAUUAAAUCAAAUAAAUAA